ACGAACGCUGGCGGCAUGCCUAACACCUGCAAGUCGAACGAGACCUUCGGGUCUAGUGGCGCACGGGUGCGUAACGCGUGGGAACCUGCCCUUAGGUUCGGAAUAACUCCCCGAAUGGGGUGCUAAUACCGGAUAAUGUCUUCGGACCAAAGAUUUAUCGCCUUUGGAUGGGCCCGCGUUGGAUUAGCUAGUUGGUAGGGUAAAAGCCUACCAAGGCGACGAUCCAUAGCUGGUCUGAGAGGAUGAUCAGCCACACUGGGACUGAGACACGGCCCAGACUCCUACGGGAGGCAGCAGUGGGGAAUAUUGGACAAUGGGCGAAAGCCUGAUCCAGCAAUGCCGCGUGAGUGAUGAAGGCCUUAGGGUUGUAAAGCUCUUUUACCCGGGAUGAUAAUGACAGUACCGGGAGAAUAAGCUCCGGCUAACUCCGUG
rnacentral:rRNA from 1 species